GAACACCUAUGCUACUCACACACCGUGCCGAACUCGUCAGUUCUUCAUUCAUGCUACCUCACCUGUUCGCCGCUGCAGGAUGACUAAAACGAUAUCUGACGGUGGCAGUUUUCUCCUUACCAGCAGCCACAAGUGAUUACUCAAGUGCUUUAUAUUCCUGAGCUGAGCAGGUGCACUUGGCAAUAUGCGAUGCCACCAGUGAGGAAAGAGGCCACUCUACACCUGUAGAAUUCAUGAGAACAGAUGAGGAAAUGGAAGAUUUCCCAUACACAGCCUCAUACUGGCUUCUUUGACAUUCAUUGGCACAGCUCUUGUCCUCAUGUUGAACAAUGGCAACUACAGUCUCCAAAGGAUAGAUGCAAGCCCAGGUAUUUCAUGCCUGCAUUAAAGAAGCAAUACAACCCACCAGAUUUAUAACAAACACCUGUGACAACAAAAUGUCCCAGACAUUAUGGUGCCUUGAAAUGGAGGACCAUGUAUGAAAAGUGUUCUAAUUUCUAUAUGGCAAGACAGAAAUGUAUGCAGAUAAC